rnacentral:rRNA from 1 species
CCUACGGGUGGCAGCAGUGGGGAAUAUUGGGCAAUGGGCGAAAGCCUGACGCAGCAACGCCGCGUGAAGGAAGAAGGAUUUCGGGUUGUAAACUUCUAUUAGCAGGGACGAAGAAAGUGAAGGUACCUGAGGAAUAAGCCACGGCUAACUAGGUGCCAGCAGCGGCGGUAAGACGUAGGUGGCAAGCGUUAUCCGGAUUUACUGGGUGUAAAGGGGGCGUAGGCGGGACUGCAAGUCAGAUGUGAAAGCCCAGGGAUCAACCUGGGGCCUGCAUUUGAAACUGUAGUUCUUGAGUGCUGGAGAGGCAAACGGAAUUCCUAGUGUAGCGGUGAAAUGCGUAGAUAUUAGGAGGAACACCAGUGGCGAAGGCGGUUUGCUGGACUGUAACUGACGCUGAGGCGCGAAAGCGUGGGGAGCAAACAGGAUUAGAUACCCGUGUAGUC